rnacentral:rRNA from 1 species
CAGUCGAACGAAGCACUUUAUUUGAUUUCCUUCGGGACUGAUUAUUUUGUGACUGAGUGGCGGACGGGUGAGUAACGCGUGGGUAACCUGCCUUGUACAGGGGGAUAACAGUUGGAAACGGCUGCUAAUACCGCAUAAGCGCACGGCAUCGCAUGAUGCAGUGUGAAAAACUCCGGUGGUAUAAGAUGGACCCGCGUUGGAUUAGCUAGUUGGUGAGGUAACGGCCCACCAAGGCGACGAUCCAUAGCCGACCUGAGAGGGUGACCGGCCACAUUGGGACUGAGACACGGCCCAAACUCCUACGGGAGGCAGCAGUGGGGAAUAUUGCACAAUGGGCGAAAGCCUGAUGCAGCGACGCCGCGUGAGCGAAGAAGUAUUUCGGUAUGUAAAGCUCUAUCAGCAGGGAAGAUAAUGACGGUACCUGACUAAGAAGCACCGGCUAAAUACGUGCCAGCAGCCGCGGUAAUACGUAUGGUGCAAGCGUUAUCCGGAUUUACUGGGUGUAAAGGGAGCGCAGGCGGUGCGGCAAGUCUGAUGUGAAAGCCCGGGGCUCAACCCCGGUACUGCAUUGGAAACUGUCGUACUAGAGUGUCGGAGGGGUAAGCGGAAUUCCUAGUGUAGCGGUGAAAUGCGUAGAUAUUAGGAGGAACACCAGUGGCGAAGGCGGCUUACUGGACGAUAACUGACGCUGAGGCUCGAAAGCGUGGGGAGCAAACAGGAUUAGAUACCCUGGUAGUCCACGCCGUAAAC